rnacentral:rRNA from 1 species
AUUGAACGCUGGCGGCAGGCCUAACACAUGCAAGUCGAACGGUAACAGGAAACAGCUUGCUGUUUCGCUGACGAGUGGCGGACGGGUGAGUAAUGUCUGGGAAACUGCCUGAUGGAGGGGGAUAACUACUGGAAACGGUAGCUAAUACCGCAUAACGUCGCAAGACCAAAGAGGGGGACCUUCGGGCCUCUUGCCAUCGGAUGUGCCCAGAUGGGAUUAGCUAGUAGGUGGGGUAACGGCUCACCUAGGCGACGAUCCCUAGCUGGUCUGAGAGGAUGACCAGCCACACUGGAACUGAGACACGGUCCAGACUCCUACGGGAGGCAGCAGUGGGGAAUAUUGCACAAUGGGCGCAAGCCUGAUGCAGCCAUGCCGCGUGUAUGAAGAAGGCCUUCGGGUUGUAAAGUACUUUCAGCGGGGAUGAAGGGAGUAAAGUUAAUACCUUUUCUCAUUGACGUUACCCGCAGAAGAAGCACCGGCUAACUCCGUG